AACUGUCAAUGAUGAGCUUGUUUAAAACACAAUGGGAAUCUCUCUGAAAAAGAAUGAAAGAGGACUUUAAACUGAUGCAGUG
ensembl:snoRNA SNORD79 Small nucleolar RNA SNORD79